rnacentral:rRNA from 1 species
CGUAUAAAUUAAUAAAAAUUAUUAGUAUUUAGUUNAAUGAAAGAUUUUUAUAAAUUAUAAAUAAUAAAAGGUAAAAUUUAAUUAUUAUUUUAUAUUUUUAAUAAAUUAACAUUAAAGCUAAAAAAUCUAAUUUAUAAACUAGGAUUAGAUACCCUAUUAUUUUAGUAAAAAUAUAAAAAACUAAAUGAAUAUUAAUUAUGUGCUUUAAAAUUAAAAAAUUUGGCGGUGAUUUAAUUUACUUAGAGGAACUUGUUUUUUAAUCGAUAAACCACGAAAAAUCUUACUUAUUUUGUUAAUAUAAAUUAUUAAAAGUUUGUAUACCAUCAUUAUCAGGUAAUUCUAAAAAGGAAAAAUUAUUAAAAAUAAAUAAAUUAUUAAAAUUAGAUCAUGGUGCAGCUUAUAAAUAAGGUAAAAUGAGUUACAAUAAAUUGUUUUAUAAUGGAAUAAUAAAGAGAAUUAUUGUUAUGAAGGAGGAUUUAAUAGUAUUAUAAUUUUAAUAAGAUUAUGAGAAAUUAACUCUAAAUCAUGUACAUAUCGCCCGUCGCUUUCAUUUAUAAAUGAAAUAAGUCGUAACAUA